rnacentral:rRNA from 1 species
AUUGAACGCUGGCGGCAGGCCUAACACAUGCAAGUCGAGUGGGGUUUUCGGACCUAGCGGCGGACGGGUGAGUAAUGCGUAGGAAGCUACCCGAUAGAGGGGGAUACCAGUUGGAAACGACUGUUAAUACCGCAUAAUGUCUACGGACCAAAGUGUGGGACCUUCGGGCCACAUGCUAUCGGAUGCGCCUACGUGGGAUUAGCUAGUUGGUGAGGUAAUGGCUCACCAAGGCGACGAUCCCUAGCUGGUUUGAGAGGAUGAUCAGCCACACUGGAACUGAGACACGGUCCAGACUCCUACGGGAGGCAGCAGUGGGGAAUAUUGGACAAUGGGCGCAAGCCUGAUCCAGCCAUGCCGCGUGUGUGAAGAAGGCCUUCGGGUUGUAAAGCACUUUCAGUAGGGAGGAAGCGUUGUGUGUUAAUAGUACACAGCGUCGACGUUACCUACAGAGGAAGCACCGGCUAACUCUGUGCCAGCCGCCGCGGUAAUAC